rnacentral:rRNA from 1 species
GGGUUGUGAGGUUAAGCGACUAAGCGUACACGGUGGAUGCCCUGGCAGUCAGAGGCGAUGAAGGACGUGCUAAUCUGCGAAAAGCGUCGGUAAGGUGAUAUGAACCGUUAUAACCGGCGAUGUCCGAAUGGGGAAACCCAGUGCAAUUCGUUGCACUAUCGUUAACUGAAUACAUAGGUUAACGAGGCGAACCGGGGGAACUGAAACAUCUAAGUACCCCGAGGAAAAGAAAUCAACCGAGAUUCCCCCAGUAGCGGCGAGCGAACGGGGAGCAGCCCAGAGUCUGAAUCAGCUUGUGUGUUAGUGGAACGGUCUGGAAAGUCCGACGGUACAGGGUGAUAGUCCCGUACACCAAAAUGCACAGGCUGUGAACUCGAAGAGUAGGGCGGGACACGUGGUAUCCUGUCUGAAUAUGGGGGGACCAUCCUCCAAGGCUAAAUACUCCUGACUGACCGAUAGUGAACCAGUACCGUGAGGGAAAGGCGAAAAGAACCCCGGCGAGGGGAGUGAAAAAGAACCUGAAACCGUGUACGUACAAGCAGUGGGAGCACCUUCGGGUGUGACUGCGUACCUUUUGUAUAAUGGGUCAGCGACUUAUAUUCUGUAGCAAGGUUAACCGUAUAGGGGAGCCGCAGGGAAACCGAGUCUUAACUGGGCGUUAAGUUGCAGGGUAUAGACCCGAAACCCGGUGAUCUAGCCAUGGGCAGGUUGAAGGUUGGGUAACACUAACUGGAGGACCGAACCGACUAAUGUUGAAAAAUUAGCGGAUGACUUGUGGCUGGGGGUGAAAGGCCAAUCAAACCGGGAGAUAGCUGGUUCUCCCCGAAAGCUAUUUAGGUAGCGCCUCGUGAAUUCAUCUUCGGGGGUAGAGCACUGUUUCGGCUAGGGGGUCAUCCCGACUUACCAACCCGAUGCAAACUACGAAUACCGAAGAAUGUUAUCACGGGAGACACACGGCGGGUGCUAACGUCCGUCGUGAAGAGGGAAACAACCCAGACCGCCAGCUAAGGUCCCAAAGUCAUGGUUAAGUGGGAAACGAUGUGGGAAGGCACAGACAGCCAGGAUGUUGGCUUAGAAGCAGCCAUCAUUUAAAGAAAGCGUAAUAGCUCACUGGUCGAGUCGGCCUGCGCGGAAGAUGUAACGGGGCUAAACCAUGCACCGAAGCUGCGGCAGCGACACUAUGUGUUGUUGGGUAGGGGAGCGUUCUGUAAGCCUGCGAAGGUGUGCUGUGAGGCAUGCUGGAGGUAUCAGAAGUGCGAAUGCUGACAUAAGUAACGAUAAAGCGGGUGAAAAGCCCGCUCGCCGGAAGACCAAGGGUUCCUGUCCAACGUUAAUCGGGGCAGGGUGAGUCGACCCCUAAGGCGAGGCCGAAAGGCGUAGUCGAUGGGAAACAGGUUAAUAUUCCUGUACUUGGUGUUACUGCGAAGGGGGGACGGAGAAGGCUAUGUUAGCCGGGCGACGGUUGUCCCGGUUUAAGCAUGUAGGCUGGUUGUCCAGGCAAAUCCGGAUAAUCAAGGCUGAGGUGUGAUGACGAGGCACUACGGUGCUGAAGUAACAAAUGCCCUGCUUCCAGGAAAAGCCUCUAAGCAUCAGGUAACAUCAAAUCGUACCCCAAACCGACACAGGUGGUCAGGUAGAGAAUACCAAGGCGCUUGAGAGAACUCGGGUGAAGGAACUAGGCAAAAUGGUGCCGUAACUUCGGGAGAAGGCACGCUGGUGUGUAGGUGAAGCCCUGCGGAUGGAGCUGAGACCAGUCGAAGAUACCAGCUGGCUGCAACUGUUUAUUAAAAACACAGCACUGUGCAAACACGAAAGUGGACGUAUACGGUGUGACGCCUGCCCGGUGCCGGAAGGUUAAUUGAUGGGGUUAUCCGUAAGGAGAAGCUCUUGAUCGAAGCCCCGGUAAACGGCGGCCGUAACUAUAACGGUCCUAAGGUAGCGAAAUUCCUUGUCGGGUAAGUUCCGACCUGCACGAAUGGCGUAAUGAUGGCCAGGCUGUCUCCACCCGAGACUCAGUGAAAUUGAACUCGCUGUGAAGAUGCAGUGUACCCGCGGCAAGACGGAAAGACCCCGUGAACCUUUACUAUAGCUUGACACUGAACAUUGAGCCUUGAUGUGUAGGAUAGGUGGGAGGCUUUGAAGCGUGGACGCCAGUCUGCGUGGAGCCAACCUUGAAAUACCACCCUUUAAUGUUUGAUGUUCUAACGUUGGCCCCUUACCGGGGUUGCGGACAGUGUCUGGUGGGUAGUUUGACUGGGGCGGUCUCCUCCCAAAGCGUAACGGAGGAGCACGAAGGUUAGCUAAUCCUGGUCGGACAUCAGGAGGUUAGUGCAAUGGCAUAAGCUAGCUUGACUGCGAGCGUGACGGCGCGAGCAGGUGCGAAAGCAGGUCAUAGUGAUCCGGUGGUUCUGAAUGGAAGGGCCAUCGCUCAACGGAUAAAAGGUACUCCGGGGAUAACAGGCUGAUACCGCCCAAGAGUUCAUAUCGACGGCGGUGUUUGGCACCUCGAUGUCGGCUCAUCACAUCCUGGGGCUGAAGUAGGUCCCAAGGGUAUGGCUGUUCGCCAUUUAAAGUGGUACGCGAGCUGGGUUUAGAACGUCGUGAGACAGUUCGGUCCCUAUCUGCCGUGGGCGCUGGAGAAUUGAGGGGGGCUGCUCCUAGUACGAGAGGACCGGAGUGGACGCAUCACUGGUGUUCGGGUUGUCAUGCCAAUGGCACUGCCCGGUAGCUAAAUGCGGAAGAGAUAAGUGCUGAAAGCAUCUAAGCACGAAACUUGCCCCGAGAUGAGUUCUCCCUGAGACUUUAAGUCUCCUGAAGGAACGUUGAAGACGACGACGUUGAUAGGCCGGGUGUGUAAGCGCAGCGAUGCGUUGAGCUAACCGGUACUAAUGAACCGUGAGGCUUAACCUUACAACGCCGAAG